CACCGCCCGUCACAUCACGAAAGUGGGCUGUACUAGAAAUCACCCAGCAAACCCGCAAGGGAAACAGGUGCUGAAGGUAUGGUCCAUGACUGGGGUG
rnacentral:rRNA from 1 species